UACGUAGGGGGCAAGCGUUGUCCGGAAUCAUUGGGCGUAAAGCGCGUGUAGGCGGCCUGGUAAGUCCGUUCUGAAAGCCCGGGGCUCGAACCCCGGGAGGCGGAUGGAUACUGUCAGGCUUGAGUACGGAAGAGGCGAGUGGAAUUCCCGGUGUAGCGGUGGAAAUGGCGCAGAUAUCGGGAGGAACACCAAUGGCGAAGGCAGCUCGCUGGGA
rnacentral:rRNA from 1 species